UGGUUGCUUGCGCGCGGAUUCUUUAAAACUUUUGUUAUCAUCUCCAGAGUUA
rnacentral:ribozyme from 1 species